GACGAACGCUGGCGGCGUGCCUAAUACAUGCAAGUCGAACGCAGUGGGGGCGGGUGAGUAACACGUGGGUGACCUCCCAUAAGAGGGGGUAACACUUGGAAACAGGUGCUAAACCGAUACUGAUGGAUGGACCCGGGGUGCAUUAGCUAGUUGGUGAGGUAACGGCUCACCAAGGCCACGAUGCAUAGCCGACCUGAGAGGGUGAUCGGCCACACUGGGACUGAGACACGGCCCAGACUCCUACGGGAGGCAGCAGUGGGGAAUCUUCGGCAAUGGACGAAAGUCUGACCGAGCCACGCCGCGUGAGUGAAGAAGGUCUUCGGGUCGUAAAGCUCUGUCGUUAGAGAAGCGGUAUCUAACCAGAAAGCAACGGCUAACUCCGUGCCAGCCGCCGCGGUAAUUC
rnacentral:rRNA from 1 species